rnacentral:rRNA from 1 species
UACAGAGGGUGCGAGCGUUGUCCGGAAUCACUGGGCGUAAAGGGCGCGUAGGCGGUCUCUUAAGCGUGUGGUGAAAGCCCGGGGCUCAACUCCGGGUCGGCCGUGCGUACUGGGGGACUGGAGCUUGUCAGAGGCAGGCGGAAUUCCGGGUGUAGCGGUGGAAUGCGUAGAGAUCCGGAAGAACACCGGUGGCGAAGGCGGCCUGCUGGGACAGUGCUGACGCUGAGGCGCGACAGCGUGGGGAGCAAACAGG